CGAGCGCACCCUUGUCCUUAUUUGCCAGCACUUCGGGUGGGAACUCUAAGGAGACUGCCGGUGACAAACCGGAGGAAGGGGGGGACGACGUCAAGUCAUCAUGGCCCUUACGACCAGGGCUACACACGUGCUACAAUGGUGCAUACAGACGGUUGCCAAGCCGCAAGGUGGAGCUAAUCUGAAAAAGUGCAUCGUAGUCCGGAUUGGAGUCCGCAACUCGACCCCAUGAAGUCGGAAUCGCUAGUAAUCGUGAAUCAAAAUGUCACGGUGAAUACGUUCCCGGGCCUU
rnacentral:rRNA from 1 species